UCUAAGGGCGUUGAAGCAUGAUCGUAAGGACAUGUGGAGCGCUUAGAAGUGAGAAUGCCGGUGUGAGUAGCGAAAGACGGGGGAGAAUCCCGUCCACCGAUUGACUAAGGUUUCCAGAGGAAGGCUCGUCCGCUCUGGGUUAGUCGGGUCCUAAGCUGAGGCCGACAGGCGUAGGCGAUGGAUAACAGGUUGAUAUUCCUGUACCACCUAUAAUCGUUUUAAUCGAUGGGGGGACGCAGUAGGAUAGGCGAAGCGUGCGAUUGGAUUGCACGUCUAAGCAGUAAGGCUGAGUAUUAGGCAAAUCCGGUACUCGUUAAGGCUGAGCUGUGAUGGGGAGAAGACAUUGAGUCUUCGAGUCGUUGAUUUCACACUGCCGAGAAAAGCCUCUAGAUAGAAAAUAGGUGCCCGUACCGCAAACCGACACAGGUAGUCAAGAUGAGAAUUCUAAGGUGAGCGAGCGAACUCUCGUUAAGGAACUCGGCAAAAUGACCCCGUAACUUCGGGAGAAGGGGUGCUCUUUAGGGUUAACGCCCAGAAGA
rnacentral:rRNA from 1 species